GUAUCUUCCAGACGGCUGUGAGUUGACUUCGUAGCUGACAGACCGGUUUAGGAGCACCCUCCACCCCCAAGGAAGAUCAGAACUCCUUUAAGGAUGCAGGAAACUCCCCGAGGCCCAGGUUGUGGGGAACUGGGAUCUCCCUCGCUUAUCCCAGGACGGGCCACUGCCCAUGAUCGUCGGUCAAGCCAUAACCAAGAGCAUGGUGGCUGUUCGUGCACGUGGUCCUCUUCUAGGAACUAGGAAGCCACCUCACAGCAGGACCAUGCCCGGCUCCUCCUUUUGCAGACUUUACUGAAGUGUUAGCUCUCUGGAAAAGGAUCUGCUAGUGGGACCUGGGGCUUUUGUUCCCUGUGCCACACUCCCCCGUCCCCCUCAAGAUAUCCAGUACUCUCCCUUCAUGGAGGAGGUUUGAGCUUCGUUCAGGCAGCAAGAGAAGACCUAGCCCUCACGGGUCAGGGUUCCUUCAAAGGUCAGGGCUCACAGGACUCCUCAAUAGAGAGGGCUGGGCGUGAGCAGGAGCCCCACUGUAGGCUUUGGUAUCAGUACAGAGGGUGGGUCCCUUCCCAUCAUCUUUUCCCCCUUUGUCCCAGAACUCCACUCAGACCCAAAGACUCUUCCAUUUACCAUCAACAUGGAAACUUGGCUCUUCACUUGGGUAUAUUCUCCCUCUUUUGUGCAUUAUCUUGUUCCUCAAAACUGCCCUUCCAUGAGGGAGGCCUGUAGAGUCAAGGGGCCUGGCCAGACACCAGAGGUGACUGGGCCCCUCAGACCUUAGUUGGUUGGGUAGACCAACUUAAUAAAGGCUUUGUGUCCUUGA